UCUGGUCCGUCCGGGCCCGAGUUGUAAUUUGUAGAGGGUGCUUCGGGCAAGGCUGCGGUCUAAUUCGCUUGGAACAGCGGGUCGCAGAGGGUGAGAGUCCCGUCUAGGACCGCGAGCCGCGCCCGUGUGAAGCCCCUUCGACGAGUCGAGUUGUUUGGGAAUGCAGCUCUAAAUGGGUGGUAAAUUUCAUCUAAAGCUAAAUAUGGGCCAGAGACCGAUAGCGCACAAGUAGAGUGAUCGAAAGAUGAAAAGCACUUUGAAAAGAGAGUUAAACAGUAUGUGAAAUUGUUGAAAGGGAAGCGCUUGCGACCAGACUCGUGAGCGGCGGCUCCCCCGGCCCUCUGGGCCGGGUCACUCCGCCGCCUCCGGGCCAGCAUCGGUCUGGGUGGCCGGUGAAAGGCCCCGGGAAUGUAUCUACCCUCGGGUCGACUUAUAGCCCGGGGCGUAAUACGGCCCACCCGGACCGAGGAACGCGCUCCGGCUUGGAUGCUGGCGUAAUGGUUGCAAGCGGCCCGUCUUGAAACACGGACCAAGGAGUCUAACAUCCAUGCGAGUGUUUGGGUGUCAAACCCCGGCGCGCAAUGAAAGUGAACGGAGGUGAGAGCCCGUCCGGGCGCAUCAUCGACCGAUCCAGAUGUCUUCGGAUGGAUUUGAGUACGAGCAUGGCUGUUGGGACCCGAAAGAUGGUGAACUAUGCCUGAAUAGGGUGAAGCCAGAGGAAACUCUGGUGGAGGCUCGCAGCGGUUCUGACGUGCAAAUCGAUCGUCAAAUUUGGGCAUAGGGGCGAAAGACUAAUCGAACCGUCUGGU
rnacentral:rRNA from 1 species